GAUGAACGCUGGCGGCGUGCUUAACACAUGCAAGUCGAACGGGAAUUCUUUUAUUGAAACUUCGGUCGAUUUAAUUUAAUUCUAGUGGCGGGCGGGUGAGUAACGCGUGGGUAACCUGCCUUAUACAGGGGGAUAACAGUCAGAAAUGGCUGCUAAUACCGCAUAAGCGCACAGAGCUGCAUGGCUCAGUGUGAAAAACUCCGGUGGUAUAAGAUGGACCCGCGUUGGAUUAGCUGGUUGGUGGGGUAACGGCCCACCAAGGCGACGAUCCAUAGCCGGCCUGAGAGGGUGAACGGCCACAUUGGGACUGAGACACGGCCCAGACUCCUACGGGAGGCAGCAGUGGGGAAUAUUGCACAAUGGGGGAAACCCUGAUGCAGCGACGCCGCGUGAAGGAAGAAGUAUCUCGGUAUGUAAACUUCUAUCAGCAGGGAAGAUAGUGACGGUACCUGACUAAGAAGCCCCGGCUAACUACGUG
rnacentral:rRNA from 1 species